rnacentral:piRNA from 1 species
AAAUGGCUGACAGCUCACAAAAGGUGCUUUGC